CCCAAUCGCAAAGGGAUGUUCCUAGCGAAUCCGGUGGCCGCAUAUAUUGCGAGCCAGAUAGGGCAGAACGCGCCAGUCCGUGCAGACCACGGCAUGCCGCAUUGCGUUGCUCCAGGCGCCUGACGCCGCCGAAGAGCCCGCCGCCCGAAGGCGCCCGCGUGCGCAUAAAAAAGGCCUUCAUCUGUAGAUGAAGGCCUUUUCCU
rfam:Burkholderia glumae PG1 chromosome 1, complete sequence.